rnacentral:rRNA from 1 species
AAUAAUUUUGGAUAGUUCAUAUAGAUAAAAUAGUUUGCGACCUCGAUGUUGGAUUAGGAUUCUUUUUUGGUGAAGAAGUUAAAAAAAGAAGUUUGUUCAACUUAUAAUUUCCUACAUGAUCUGAGUUCAGACCGGCGUAAGCCAGGUUGGUUUCAAUCUUAAUUAAAAAAUUUAUUUUUAUAGUACGAAAGGAAUUAAGAAUAUAAAAUUUUUUAUUAAAAGAAAUAUUUUUUUAUACUAAUUUGGCAG